rnacentral:rRNA from 1 species
UGAAGGUGUAAAUGGUCUGGCCUGCUCACUGAUAAUUACAUUUAAGAGCCGCGGUAUAUUGACCGUGCAAAGGUAGCAUAAUCAUUAGGGGUUUAAUUGGAACCUAGUAUGAAGGGUCGGACAAAGGAAAAGCUGUCUUUAUAAGUUUGGUUGAAGUUUACUUUUAAGUGAAAAGGCUUGAAUAAAUCAAAGGGACGAUAAGACCCUAUAAAGCUUUAUAGAUAAUCUAAAUUUAGCUAAUCUAAAAAUGAAAGCAAGGUAAAGUUAUUCUAUUUCGUUGGGGUGAUGUGAGUAUAAUUGUUGUUAACUGCUUAAAUUUUAUACUUAUGAAAAAGAAUUGAAAAUAAAUGAUCCUAUUUAAAGAUUAAAAGACUAAGUUACUUUAGGGAUAACAGCGUUAUUUCUUUUGAGAGUUCAUAUCGAAAAAGAAGAUUGCGACCUCGAUGUUGAAUUAAAAUAUCUAUAUAAUGCAGCCGUUAUAAAAGAGGGUCUGUUCGACCUUUGAAUU